UACGAAGGGGGCUAGCGUUGUUUCGGAAUCACUGGGCGUAAAGGGCGCGUAGGCGGCCGAUCAAGUCGGGGGGUGAAAGCCUGUGGCUCAACCACAGAAUUGCCUUCGAUACUGUUUGGCUUGAGACCGGAAGAGGUUAGUGGAACUGCGAGUGUAGAGGUGAAAUUCGUAGAUAUUCGCAAGAACACCAGUGGCGAAGGCGGCUCACUGGUCCGGUACUGACGCUGAGGUGCGAAAGCGUGGGGAGCAAACAGG
rnacentral:rRNA from 1 species